CUACACCCACCCUCGUGCUCUGGGUUGCUCAGAAAUUCCAAGUUUCCUGCUGCCUCACUGGCUGGAACAGAAUGGAAUGUGCACCACUGCUGAUAACAACAGGAGAGGCCCCAAACCACAGAGGCAGGCAGCCCCGGGAAGUUAAUCCCGAAGCAUUUCUGCCCUCCACAUUUAUUGAAAGUCACUUGGAACAUUGGUUCAGAAGUACUCUACGUGGCUCUCAUUCCUGGACCCAGGCUGAAGCAGCAGCAGACACUUGGACAUCCACUUCUCAUGGAGAAUACAGGAGUGGGAGAGAUAGAUUAGAAAUACACAAAGCUUGAAACUGACCUCCUAUCGUUUCCCACCUGCAGCCCACUGGCCAAAGAUUCUUGUAAAGUGGAAUUACUCUUCUCAUCAAACAUUCUGUACUACUCUAUGAUCCAAAGAAAUGCCCAGAUUCUUCUAGAAUAGGCCCACUAGUGAUGCCUGGAUUGAAUUAAAGCAGCUGAUUCUCAAGCCAAGUGGCCAGAAUUUGGACAACUCUACUGGUUCAUCCUCUGUGCUGUAUGGAAGAAACCAAGAUAAUGACACUUUCCCAAGGCUGGGACUG